GAAGCAUGACCGUAAGGACAUGUGGACAGUAUGGGAGUGAGAAUGUUGGCAUGAGUAGCGAGAUGUGGGUGAGAAUCCCACAGGCCGUAAACCCAAGGGUUCCAGGGGAAGGUUCGUCCGCCCUGGGUUAGUCGGGACCUAAGCUGAGGCCGAAAGGCGUAGGUGAUGGACAACAGGUUGAUAUUCCUGUACUACCGAUAACCGUUUGAGAGAUGGGAUGACACAG
rnacentral:rRNA from 1 species